UACCAGGAGGAAAUAUUGCGAAGCCAGCAAGAAGCUAAAUACUGAGUUCUUGAGAGGACCAGACAGGGAGACAUUUUCUAUUGUAAACUGAAGUCAGCGUGGCAAGGCAAAUUCAAUUCACACGAGACAGUGGUUGCAUAGCACGUGGCGUGCAAGAUGACAACUCUCAUGAUUGACGGGUCAAAUGUUAGCACCUUCGACUGAUGUACGAGAUUUCUAGCCAAGAUUUGCACAACAUAGUUCACGUGCAAAUCAAAGUCAUCUUGAACCUAAAGUUCAAUUGCAAAACAAUACGACAAGACGAUAAAGGAAACAUUUUUACUAGAAAGGCCAUACUUAUUUUACAGUACAAUUAGAUUA